UAAGGAAUUUUGCGCAAUGGGGGAAACCCUGACGCAGCAACGCCGCGUGACCGAUGAAGCUUCUAGGAGCGUAAAGGUCUGUCGUAAGGGAAGAAAUAUUUGGAUGUAAAUAAUGUUUGAAUUUGACGGUACCUUACAAGAAAGCACCGGCUAACUUCGUGCCAGCAGCCGCGGUAAUACGAGGGGUGCGAGCGUUGUCCGGAAUCACUGGGCGUAAAGGGUCCGUAGGCUUUUUAACAAGUCAUUUGUUAAAGACAUCGGCUUAACCGAUGGAAUGCAAAUGAAACUGUUAGAAUAGAGUAUAGGAGAGGAAAGUGGAAUUCCUGGUGUAGCGGUGACAUGCGUAGAUAUCAGGAGGAACACCAAUGGCGAAGGCAGCUUUCUGGCCUAUUACUGACGCUGAUGGACGAAAGCGUGGGGAGCGAACAGG
rnacentral:rRNA from 1 species